UUUCCCGUAGGUGAACCUGCGGAAGGAUCAUUA
rnacentral:rRNA from 2 species